GGGGAUUUGGCUCAGUGGUAGAGCGCUUACCUAGGAAGCACAAGGUCCUGGGUUCAGUCCCCAGCCCCG
rnacentral:tRNA from 1 species